ACUUUCUCUUUCAACCUAGCCCUCAUAUGCGGAUCUGCCCCUUCUCCUCUCUCCUCCAUCCUCCGCCGUCCGCCCCUUUCUCCACUAGGACCACCAUAUCUUUUCUUCUCAUCACUCUCCAUCAGAACUUUAGUUUCUCAAUCGCGAAAUCUCUUUAUGUAUCUCUCAUGCGAAACAUCUGGUCAUCUGAUCGAUUUCUUUGGGUAAUUUGUUCUUGUUCAUCUAUUAUAAUCAUCUGAUUGUAUUUGAUUUAAUUUUUCGCAGAUUUGUUGAUUUAUUAAAUGUUUAAUUUUUUUUCAAUUGUUAAUAUGUUUACCGUUCUUCUUUUAUUAUUUUAUUGGAUUUUCGUUUUUUGUUGAUACUUUUCCCAAUACUACGCACUAACACCAUCAAUUAUUUGCUUAAAUGGGUACUACGGAGGAUUUAACGGAGAGUUGUCGAUGGCCGAACAGGGUGGCCAUUAUUGCUCCCAAAAAACCGGUAGAUUGUUUAAAUAUUGUUGGUGCCAGGCACUUGUUGAAUGUGGCUAAAGUUCACUUUUGCUGACACACAUUACUGGGACAAUAUUAAGUUCAAGAGGCUAGACGCGUCAAAAUUCUCCAUGUGCCUAACAAGAGUUUCUGCAUGAGGAUGUUUGUUUUGCAGCUGGAAGGGUUGUUGCAGUCAGUCAAAGGUGGUAUGCUUCCAGUGAUUGACUGUUGCGCAGCUGUUCUGCUCUGUUUGGCUGUUGUUGGCAGUGUUUCGGGUGUGGUGUUGCUGCAUGGGGGUAGUGGUUGUCACUGCUUGUUUGUUGUCAACCAUUAAGUAUAUUGGGAAUUGUACAUCAGUCCAUAUGUUAGGUUAACCAGCACUAGGACGAAGAUCAAUGGCGAGUCUUCUUUCAUGGAGAUCUCAACCAACAGCCAUAAAGACGAGAGAUUAUCGCCUUUUAACUCGACUUAUGCAGUGAGGUUUAAAGAGGAUAUAAAGAGGUGGGCGAGAGGCGGUGUGAGAUAUGCAACCAUUGUAGUAGCUCUUGUGAUCUACAUAAGGGUGGUGGUUUUGGGGAAUUUUUGUCUAAUUGAUUUUUUUUCCGCUCAACUCCUUUUCUCGGGGUUUUCUCCCCUAAUCGCUCUGCUUGUUUGCUUAUUUUGUUCUGAUAUUUGAUUUUAAUAUCUUGGGGGACCGCGCGCGCUAGCGCGUGGUCCAACAACUAGUUUACUAAAAAGUAAAGAAAUUCAUAUAAUUUUAUCAAUUAAGACUUGAUG